CAUAAAACACAAACAAAUGAUUUACAGUUCAAGCAGCGAAGAUGAAGACAAUCCACUUAACUAUAAAAUGAAAGGAAAUAAAACUAUAGAUUGGCCCCUAAAGAAAUCUAAGGGAUAACUAAGGGAUACCUAAAACGCACAACUAGCUUCAUGAAACGUGUUUUUCAGAAAUGAUGUCGAAGAUGUGGAAAAUUAAAAGCACUAUCCAGUUUAACUUCAUAUGGACAAAAUAAUAAAGAUAUCUUUAUUGUGUUAUUUUAAUAUAAAAAAAUAUGAUUUUGCAAUGUACACAUUGGCACUUAAUGUGAAUAUUUUAUAAACAAUUAAGAAUUUAUAUUUUUGUUGAAUAAAUAUUUGUAAAAUUUUAUUUAAUAAAAAAAUAUGAUAAUGCA